rnacentral:tRNA from 1 species
UCGGGCGUGGCCAAGCGGUAAGGCAGCAGACUUUGGAUCUGCCAUUCCCUGGUUCGAAUCCAGGCGCCCGAGCCA